rnacentral:tRNA from 1 species
UUGGGUGUAGUUCAGUGGGAGAACACUCUUCCUAGCAUGUGCAAGGCCCUGGGUUCCAUCCCCAGCACCACAA